rnacentral:rRNA from 1 species
GCUCAGAUUGAACGCUGGCGGCAGGCCUAACACAUGCAAGUCGAGCGGUAGAAGGAAGCUUGCUUCCUUUGAGAGCGGCGGACGGGUGAGUAAUGCCUAGGAAUCUGCCUGGUAGUGGGGGAUAACGUUCGGAAACGGACGCUAAUACCGCAUACGUCCUACGGGAGAAAGCAGGGGACCUUCGGGCCUUGCGCUAUCAGAUGAGCCUAGGUCGGAUUAGCUUGUUGGUGAGGUAAUGGCUCACCAAGGCAACGAUCCGUAACUGGUCUGAGAGGAUGAUCAGUCACACUGGAACUGAGACACGGUCCAGACUCCUACGGGAGGCAGCAGUGGGGAAUAUUGGACAAUGGGCGAAAGCCUGAUCCAGCCAUGCCGCGUGUGUGAAGAAGGUCUUCGGAUUGUAAAGCACUUUAAGUUGGGAGGAAGGGUUGUAGUUUAAUACGCUGCAACUUUGACGUUACCGACAGAAUAAGCACCGGCUAACUCUGUGCCAGCAGCCGCGGUAAUACAGAGGGUGCAAGCGUUAAUCGGAAUUACUGGGCGUAAAGCGCGCGUAGGUGGCAAAGUAAGAUGGGUGUGAAAUCCCCGGGCUCAACCUGGGAACUGCAUCCAUAACUGCUUCGCUAGAGUACGGUAGAGGGUAGUGGAAUUUCCUGUGUAGCGGUGAAAUGCGUAGAUAUAGGAAGGAACACCAGUGGCGAAGGCGACUACCUGGACUGAUACUGACACUGAGGUGCGAAAGCGUGGGGAGCAAACAGGAUUAGAUACCCUGGUAGUCCACGCCGUAAACGAUGUCAACUAGCCGUUGGAAUCCUUGAGAUUUUAGUGGCGCAGCUAACGCACUAAGUGACCCGC